rnacentral:snoRNA from 1 species
UAUUGAUGAUGUGGAUAGUCCCUAAGAAGUGCCUUAAACCACUCCCAUGCAUGAUAUAAAUUCUCGUCUGGCUUCUGUUUGAAGCAUACAAUCUCACUGCAAAGU